UACGGGCACAAGAGGUGGGGCCUUCGCCGUGACGUCGCGGCCGAGGCGGGGCACCGAUAGGGGGACCUAGGGCCAAGGGCGGGGCCUAUGCAAAUCGCUGGGCUGAAACAUAAAUAGAGCACUCCGCGGACACGGGGGUAGCGGGGGCGGUGGGGUUGGGUGCCCGAUGGGUUGUGAGAAUGUCAGGCUGCUGUGACGCGGGGGGCGGGGCUCAGGCGGGGUUCCCGGGGGAGGGGGCGGGCCGCCCGGCAUGGUCUAGGGUGCAUGGGUCUCUGCGCCCCCUGCCUGCUCAACUUCCCCCUCCAAUUCCCUGCUUACCUUUGAUGUCCCGCAAGUGAGGACGCGCCUCGUGGGUCGCUGCGGGGAGGGAAGAGUAGAUGGGAGACCAAGGCGGAGAAGAGCACCAGUUCCGCUGCUUCUCCUGUCUGCAGCACGCUCAACCCCGAGCGAGUCUCAGCUUCCGCUCAGUCUCGGCUUCCAAGCUUGCCAAAGUGUCCGAAAACGCGCAGAGCGCUCGGAACCUGUCCCGCAGCUGUGCGACGCGCGUCUCGAGCUGGCCGCAGCCGCCCCGCCCUCGCGCGCCUUCAGCCCCGCGGGCGGGGAUGCCGGCUCCGCGGCCUCUUUACCGGGACCCCGCUCCAGGCCCGGGCGUGCUCCGGCUCGAGGUGGAAGGCACACCCGGGUAGUGGAUUUAGCAAACACACCUUUGUGAGUACACACGACACGGGCGCGCGCGCACACACCCUGCAGGCGCGCGCGCACAGUCCAGCCGGCUGCAGACGGCGCGCCCCGGCCGCUCGGCGGCGGAUGGUGGCUGGGAGCGCACUCGGUGCACCGUUGAGUUCACGGCCAGCCUCGACCCCGGGCUGCGGGGAGCCCUGGCGCUCGGGACGCACGCCGGGCUCUCUGCCGCCCUGGCGGCGCCCGAACCCCAUCCUCCCGGGGCAAGGCUGCGUGGGGGCGGACGGGCGGAGAGCGCAGCUUGCUGGGGCCGGGGCGCCGGAGAAGGCAAAGAAGCGAGUCCCCUGUGAACCAGGAACGCUGCAGACAUUGUUCUUCGUACUCUCCAGGGCUCGGUCGAAUGUGGGUCCAAAACACGGCCUUAAUUACCACGUUAGAGACAUCCCUACUCUUUGCCCUGCCUUCUGUUUCUCCUGUAAACCAUGUCACUGA
rnacentral:lncRNA from 1 species